rnacentral:rRNA from 1 species
UAUCUCUGUAGAGUCUGCAUAUCAAUAAGCGGAGGAAAAGAAACUAACAAGGAUUCCCUUAGUAACGGCGAGUGAAGCGGGAAGAGCUCAAAUUUGAAAUCUUCAAGGUUUUACCUUGACGAAUUGUAGUUUAAAGAAGUGUUUUCUGUUGAAGUUUCGGUAAAAGUUCUUUGGAAUAGGACAUCAUAGAGGGUGAGAAUCCCGUAUUUGACCGUUAUUUUCAGCUGUGUGAUGCACUUUCAAAGAGUCGGAUUGUUUGGGAAUGCAGUCCAAGAUGGGUGGUAAAUUUCAUCUAAAGCUAAAUAUUGGCGAGAGACCGAUAGCGAACAAGUACCGUGAGGGAAAGAUGAAAAGAACUUUGAAAAGAGAGUUAAACAGUACGUGAAAUUGUCAAAAGGGAAGCGUUUGACACCAGUGUUGCUUAGUUGAAAAUCAAUUCAAUAGUUUUUGAUUCUAAGUAGUAUUGACUUCAUCAGCUUGCUGCUUUCUUCUCAGAAAUUAUUGAAUGCACUUUUCAGUUAACAAGUCAACAUCAAUUUCUUUUGUUGUAAAAGGGUAAGAGGAAGGUGGCUUGCGCUUCGGCUCAAGUGUUUAUAGCCUUUUAUCUUCUGCAAUCGGAGAGAUUGAGGUCUGCAGCGUAGAUCCUUCGGGGUUAGAUACAUUGGUGCUAAGCUAUAGCCUUGUAUAGACAACUUGUUGACUAUGCUCAGUCAUGUAGCUUACUCGCUGAUGCUAUUUUACCUACGCUUAGGAUGUUGAACGCGCACAGAGUCUC